AUUGAACGCUGGCGGCAUGCCUUACACAUGCAAGUCGAACGGCAGCACGGGAGCAAUCCUGGUGGCGAGUGGCGAACGGGUGAGUAAUAUAUCGGAACGUGCCCAGUCGUGGGGGAUAACGCAGCGAAAGCUGUGCUAAUACCGCAUACGAUCUAAGGAUGAAAGCGGGGGAUCGCAAGACCUCGCGCGAUUGGAGCGGCCGAUAUCAGAUUAGCUAGUUGGUGGGGUAAAGGCCCACCAAGGCGACGAUCUGUAGCUGGUCUGAGAGGACGACCAGCCACACUGGAACUGAGACACGGUCCAGACUCCUACGGGAGGCAGCAGUGGGGAAUUUUGGACAAUGGGCGCAAGCCUGAUCCAGCAAUGCCGCGUGUAGGAUGAAGGCCUUCGGGUUGUAAACUGCUUUUGUACGGAACGAAACGGCCCUUUCUAAUACAAGGGGCUAAUGACGGUACCGUAAGAAUAAGCACCGGCUAACUACGUGCCAGCCGCCGCCGUAAUAC
rnacentral:rRNA from 1 species